rnacentral:lncRNA from 1 species
UAAGAAAGACAAGUCUGGGAAGGGAUUUUUGUUUAGAACCUAAGCACAUUCCCUAGUAGGUGGCUCUCACUGGAGUGAAGCAAAGUCCUCGAAGAGGCAGGGAUUUAGCUCCUGUGUUUGUGUGGUAGUUUUGAGAUUAUGCUACAUGGUCCCCAGCGUAGAUCAAAUAGGCCACUCAUUUGGAAAGAAGCAUGCCAAAAUGACUGUCUGGUUAUCAUCCAUAGCAGUGACAGACGUAAAGAGUUUACCACCCAGUGCAGUGUAGCUAAACCGCUACCAUCAACCAAUGGAUAAGCGGUUGGGCUAAAUCGCAUCCUGAAUAGGCAGAGUGAUAGGAUACUGUGAAAAGAAGGGCGAAGAUGUUAAAACUUUCAGAAGAAAUGAAUUUUCUAGGGAAAUAAGUAUGUGUAAGAGAGAAACUUGCAGGAAUCCUCUGGUGCAAAAAUCACAAGAAUAAACAUUCCUCAAAAAAAAAAAAAUCUUAGAUCAUCCUCAGUGAUCAACAGUGGCACUAUGAGCUUAAAACAAUUAACAAGAAAGGAAGUAAAGCACCCUUUCAGAUGUAAGACAUCCUGUAGCCUGCAGCCAUCUUGAAUGGAGAAUGAGGCAGCAGUGGUGUGUAUCAGGUACAGGGUAGCAAACUGCACAGGUCUGUCCUUGGUCCCUCUUGAAACACAGUAAAGUUACAUUUUAGUCUAUAAAGCUAUAAAGAUGAGGGUGGACAAAGUCUAAUAUUUGCAGUACUUCUGAGCAAAGGCAUAAUAUUGAAAGUUACAAAUUAAGCUAACAAGCUGUUACAGUGUAUCCUUCCACCUGGACAAAUAUUCAGCUGAUAGCAAGUAACAACAGAGAAUACAGCUUCCAAGUUAACUUCAUUUCUGUUAAAGCUGUGACUUGCCAUGGGGAGAGAUGAUGGUACAAUCUCAUGAACCUCCCCCUCACACCUCCACCUCGGCACAUGCGCAACUUAUGUCCUACCUUUUCUACAGCAUGCUCUAGGUCCAGGGUAUGCAUAUACACUGGUAAUGCGGAUUGGUGCUCUGGGCGGAAGUCAGCUUGGAAAAGGGACUCUGGGAACGCUGUGCACCUAGAGUGCUGUUCCAGGGGAUGGUGAGGACAUUGGUCAAAUGCAACCCUUGAUUCAGAAAAUCUGUGAUUCUUGGGAGGAGGGAGAGGAGCAGCAUGCAGCCACACCCUCAUUCCAAAUCCGAGCUGACCCUGAUGGAGUGAACUGGAAGCCUAGAGUAACGAUGUCUGAAACUGGAAAGCAAAUGGAUUAAACAGGAAUUGAUACAGCAGAUACAAGACGGCAAGCUUCUUAAAGGCAGGAAAGGAAGAACUGACUGUGUUUAUCCCACGAAGAUUUCAAAAAAGCUUCAGAGUUAAAAAUGAAAAGGAUGCUGGCUCAGGAGCUUCCAGAAAGGAUGAGCCCUUGAAAACAAGGGGUUGAGAGCUGUCGAAGUGAUAAGGUCUUUUGUUCUGCUCUCCUACCAUGCACCCACUUCUCCCAAUUAGGCAUGAAAUUAAGCUUACAAAAUUAAGCAUCAGAUCAUGACUGAAGGAGCUGUGCCUAACACAAAUAUGGGUUCUCCACUAAGACACAUCCAUGGCAAGUGGAAAUGACAUCUACCAUCUUCUAGUUGUCUGCUGAAGAAUCUUGACACCAAGGCAGAAACUUUGGAUCUCUUCUGAGUCAGCAGUCUCCCCUCAUCCAAUCAGAGAGCUCAACCCUCUUUUCAGUGUGAGGGUACUCAGCUGGGCAUUGAGAAUGAUCUAAUAAGCAAGGAGUUUUAGAAGCAAAGCAACAAGACAGAGCUUCCCAGAGGAGAACAGUGUGUAUGUCAAAAAACCAACCAACCAACCAACCAACCAAAACAAACAAAAAAAACCCCAAAACAAAAACCAAACCAAAACAAACAAACAAACAAAAAAAACCAUUACAAAACAAAAAGCUCCAGAGGGAAAAAUAUGUCCUAAAACAACAACAACAAACAACAACAACAAAAAUUCCAAGACACUUUCAAAAAAUGAUAUCACCUGUGGACGAGAAGAUGGUAUAUAAAGACAGAUGCUGAGGCUACUUGAUAAAAAAUAAAAUCUAAAGAGUGUAUGAUGGAAGAACUCUCUUAAGAAAUUUAACAAAAUACAAAAAGUAAGUAAAAUUUAAAAAAUUAGUCUAGGUGCUUCGGUGCAUACCUAGCAAGCAUUCAGAAAGGACACUAGCUGCAGCCAUCACGCUGAAAGGAGAAUAUAUUCCACAUGGAAAGACAUGAGUUCUCAUGCUACAAAACUUACCAGUAUAAGAAGAAUUCUAGGAAAAGAAGAAUUAGAAACACAUACACACACACAAUUGAAAAGGGCACACAAAGGAACAAAAAUGAGACCCUUUGUCUUCAUGGAGACACAAGAAGUUAGAAGAUGUUAUAGCAAUGGCCCUAGAAUGCUGAAGGACUUCAUAUUCUCCAGCUAAGAAUCUUAGACAUGUAAUUCAUGAAUGAGAAACACAGCAAAGACAAAUCAAACCUGCAAGGAUUCAAGAUUUUACCUAGACAAAACUAUUCCCAAGAGGCUGCUGGAAGUUAUGUACCGUCGCAUC